UACGUAGGGUGCGAGCGUUAAUCGGAAUUACUGGGCGUAAAGCGUGCGCAGGCGGUUUUGUAAGCCAGAUGUGAAAUCCCCGGGCUUAACCUGGGAAUGGCAUUUGGGACUGCAAGGCUGGAGUGCGGCAGAGGGGGAUGGAAUUCCGCGUGUAGCAGUGAAAUGCGUAGAUAUGUGGAGGAACACCGAUGGCGAAGGCAGCCCCCUGGGUUAACACUGACGCUCAGGCACGAAAGCGUGGGGAGCAAACAGG
rnacentral:rRNA from 1 species